rnacentral:rRNA from 2 species
AGAGUUUGAUCCUGGCUCAGGAUGAACGCUAGCGGCAGGCUUAACACAUGCAAGUCGAGGGGCAGCAUAAUGGAUAGCAAUAUCUAUGGUGGCGACCGGCGCACGGGUGCGUAACGCGUAUGCAACCUACCUUUAACAGGGGGAUAACACUGAGAAAUUGGUACUAAUACCCCAUAAUAUCAUAGAAGGCAUCUUUUAUGGUUGAAAAUUCCGAUGGUUAGAGAUGGGCAUGCGUUGUAUUAGCUAGUUGGUGGGGUAACGGCUCACCAAGGCGACGAUACAUAGGGGGACUGAGAGGUUAACCCCCCACACUGGUACUGAGACACGGACCAGACUCCUACGGGAGGCAGCAGUGAGGAAUAUUGGUCAAUGGACGCAAGUCUGAACCAGCCAUGCCGCGUGCAGGAAGACGGCUCUAUGAGUUGUAAACUGCUUUUGUACGAGGGUAAACGCAGAUACGUGUAUCUGUCUGAAAGUAUCGUACGAAUAAGGAUCGGCUAACUCCGUGCCAGCAGCCGCGGUAAUACGGAGGAUCCAAGCGUUAUCCGGAUUUAUUGGGUUUAAAGGGUGCGUAGGCGGUUUGAUAAGUUAGAGGUGAAAUUUCGGGGCUCAACCCUGAACGUGCCUCUAAUACUGUUGAGCUAGAGAGUAGUUGCGGUAGGCGGAAUGUAUGGUGUAGCGGUGAAAUGCUUAGAGAUCAUACAGAACACCGAUUGCGAAGGCAGCUUACCAAACUAUAUCUGACGUUGAGGCACGAAAGCGUGGGGAGCAAACAGGAUUAGAUACCCUGGUAGUCCACGCAGUAAACGAUGAUAACUCGUUGUCGGCGAUACACAGUCGGUGACUAAGCGAAAGCGAUAAGUUAUCCACCUGGGGAGUACGUUCGCAAGAAUGAAACUCAAAGGAAUUGACGGGGGCCCGCACAAGCGGAGGAACAUGUG